UAAAUCAUCUCACCUUUGGUUUUGUCUUGCUCUUCGUGUCGUUGUUUAAGACUUUUGACGGUUUCCUCUGAAGCAUAGUGCUGAAUCUGAAUAACUGCUGGUCAGUUUUUUUUGUUGUUGAUAAAAAACAACUGUGCUGUUGCUUAUUUAACCAAUCAUCAUAUCAACAACCUACUGUACUGCAACAGUUGUGCAGAGCAGCUACAUUUCCUCUAAGGCAGCCAGGAUGUGACUCUCUCUCUACACAGUCUGUUUAUCUGUGAUGAAAGACAUGCAUGUGUUGUACUUUUAGGUGGGAGGUGGAAAGUCUGGUCAACAAGCUACAGACACUGAAUAAUCCUCAGCGCACCCAGAAAGCCUCAUUGAUGACUGCUUGAUUGGGGUUGUAAUAAUUUCACAGCCUACCUCUUCCUCACCCCAACCACCCUGACAAUCCUGGCCAGCAGAGCAGUAGGUCUAACUGUACCACAUGGUGCCUUCCCAGUCACCUGAGGAUGUUGGUUGAUCUAUUAGUUGUAAUUCAACUGGUGGGAUGAAGGAUGAGGGAAUGGAUGGACCGGACAUUUUUAAACCUCACCAAAAUAAAAUGCAAAGAGUUCAGCUGCUCCACUCUGUCCUCUACCGCCAGCACGCUUCUCUGACAAGGACCUUGACCCAUCUCUGAGGAACCACAGGCAAGAAUGCAAGGUUAGACUACUUUUCUGGUACUCAGUAGGUUGU